AUCAUAAAUUAAUAACUGCUAUGGCUGAGAGGUGGAGGCCAGAGACUCAUACUUUCCAUCUACCAUUUGGAGAGGUCACCAUCACUCUACAGGACGUGGAGGUUUUAUUUGGAUUGCGCACUGACGGAGAUGCAGUUGCAUAUGGUGAUGAAAUGGAUCGCAAUUUAGAUUGGCGUACUAUGUUGCGAGAUUUCACGGGCUUGGAGGUUGUACCGGCGGCCAUGAAUGGACAUGAUCGUAUUUCUAUUGCUACGGUUGUGAAUUAUCUUCGCCAGCAGCUUCUAUUUCAUCCCCUUACUGACAAGACUCCCGAGGAUAGGGUUCAGAGCAUCACUAGACUAUACAUGUUGUUGCUUAUGGGAGGGAUUCUUUUUACAAAUACAUCUGGCGGUCUUUUGAGCUUGCGCUACUUAUAUUUUCUUAGGGACCUCGACAGGAUAGGGGAUUAUAGCUGGGGCAGUGCAGUUCUAGCAUACUUAUAUUGGUCUCUUUGUCGGCCAUCUAUGGGCACGAAUCAGCUACAAGGAUUUGUUCCUCUCGUUCAGAUUUGGACUUGGGAGAUGAUUCGACCAUUCAUGCCUUAGCCGAAUAUGGCGAUUGCUGAGGACGAGCCUGUGCUACCUUAUGGUAGAAAAUGGACACGAGGGUUUCGACGAAAUUCAGAGGCACAUCAUGCUCUAGUUCCAAUGAGAGAUCAACUUGAUCACAUGACGGAGGAGCAGUUUGUGUGGACACCUUAUGACUAUAUUCUCGACAAUUUACCUCCCUGUUGUAAGGCUGGUAGACGAAUAUGGCGGACAUGAUCAGAGAUGUUAUGUAUAGAUAUUAUAAAGUGUCACGCAGCAGAUCGAGUGAUGCGACAAUUUAGUCGUCCGCAGCAUGUUCCAUUGUUUCCUAGUUGGGAUCCAUACCAUUAUAAGCAUGAUGAAAGAAGUAGAGUCGAUCAAAAUUUUCUAGCUCUAGUAGAUAGUAAUGUUGAUCAUUGGAAUAAUCAGUUGCAUAGGGUUGAAGAGACACAUGCAAAUGCAGACUUGGCUACAUAUCGAGAGAGGUUUCAGCAUCAUGGACAUUUGCUAUUGUGCAACCCUACUCGCAGAGUUUCCAAGCACGUGGCGAUGGCGCCUUCACACUUGGAGAUGACCAGAGGGCUCCAACAUUUAUAUCAGGAGUCGUUAAAGUGGAAGUUGGACCCCUCACACCAUGGUUGUGGUACAUAUCUUAGUCAGUUUAUUGAGGAUAUUUUUGACCAGGAUGGUCAGGUCCUUGACGGGCCUGUUUUUCCCGACGUUGAGUUUGUACAGCCACCUACGGAUCCUGGACGAGGGGGACGUGGAUGUAGACGUGGACAUGGAUGUAGACGUGGACGUGGAGGUGAUCCCCCUGUGCGGAGGGGUGGACGAGGAUGAGGUCGUAUUCCCUUUCCAUUACUUCCUCCUGUUGAGCCAGAGCCUGAGAUACAUAAGGCGGUAGAUACAAAGCCCCACCCAGUAGUACAUGUUGAGCAUAUUUCAGAUAUAAAUACAACUCAGAUAUCAUCAUUUGAUCCAUCGCCGUCUACUCCAGCUUGUUCAUCCAUGCCACAGCCGCAGCACUUCUCUAAAUAUAUUGCACCAUCUUGGGUUGAUGAAGAGGUUUGCGAAUCAUAUGAUGACAUGCAUUAUCGAGAUGUGGCUACGCCUUUACGUUUGAGUUUUGGUUCGAUAGAAUUUUGAGAUAUGUCGUCUCAGGAUCUAUUAGGCACAUCUUUGUCAGUACCAAUUGGGGCCCUGAGGCAGCUGCGCACUCUCAGCCAAAUGAGGCUGAUGAUAUGGAAGAACAGAUACUCCAUUUUAGUCUUCGUUCCAUGUCCGACUACAUAUCUGAGUUAACGGCGCCUUGUACUUCUCAAUCGGUCAUUGAUCUUUCCGUUGACAUACAGGUCAAUAAUUACAACACUAAAUUUAAAAUUACUUAUUAUAUUUAUAAUCAAUUAAUAGUUGUUCAUCAUGUAUUUUUUUUGGUUCUUGAGGUAGCACAUUCUGUUAUACCGGAUGCAUCUCAUGCACCAAAUGACGUUACGAAGGAGACACAGGAUCCGUUAUGUAAGAACAAUCAUAAAAAAAAAAGCAUUGUGCUGAUCCGGUAGCUGUUAUUACGAGAAAGCAUCACAACGACGGGGAUGAUGAUGCUCGUGGAGGACUAAGACUAUACACGUCGAUAUGAUUUAGGGUUUGUGGCACAUAGUAAUGUUACACAUUUAAUAUAAUAAAAUACUUCUUUGUAAAUAUAUUUUGUGAAUGUAUUAAUCUUUUAAAUUUUAUUUUGCAAAAAA